UACGAAGGGGGCUAGCGUUGCUCGGAAUCACUGGGCGUAAAGGGUGCGUAGGCGGGUUUUUAAGUCAGAGGUGAAAUCCUGGAGCUCAACUCCAGAACUGCCUUUGAUACUGAAAGUCUUGAGUAUGGGAGAGGUGAGUGGAACUGCGAGUGUAGAGGUGAAAAUUCGUAGAUAUUCGCAAGAACACCAGUGGCGAAGGCGGCUCACUGGCCCAUACUGACGCUGAGGCACGAAAGCGUGGGGAGCAAACAGGG
rnacentral:rRNA from 1 species